rnacentral:rRNA from 1 species
CUACGGGGGGCUGCAGUGAGGAAUAUUGCACAAUGGGGGGAACCCUGAUGCAGCAACGCCGCGUGGAGGAUGACGCAUUUCGGUGUGUAAACUCCUUUUAUAUGUCAAGAAAAUGACGGUAGCAUAUGAAUAAGCACCGGCUAACUCCGUGCCAGCAGCCGCGGUAAUACGGAGGGUGCAAGCGUUACUCGGAAUCACUGGGCGUAAGGGACGCGUAGGCGGGUUGGAAAGUCAGGUGUGAAAUCCUACAGCUUAACUGUAGAACUGCACUUGAAACUUCUAAUCUAGAGUAUGGGAGGGAGAGAUGGAAUUAGUGGUGUAGGGGUAAUAUCCGUAGAUAUCACUAGGAAUACCUAAAGCGAAGGCGAUCUCCUGGAACAUUACUGACGCUAAGGCGUGAAAGCGUGGGGAGCAAACAGGAUUAGAUACCCGAGUAGUC